rnacentral:rRNA from 1 species
AUUGAACGCUGGCGGCAUGCCUUACACAUGCAAGUCGAACGGCAGCACGGGUGCUUGCACCUGGUGGCGAGUGGCGAACGGGUGAGUAAUACAUCGGAACGUACCUUAUCGUGGGGGAUAACGCAGCGAAAGCUGUGCUAAUACCGCAUACGCCCUGAGGGGGAAAGCGGGGGAUCGCAAGACCUCGCGCGAUUAGAGCGGCCGAUGCCUGAUUAGCUUGUUGGUGGGGUAAAGGCCCACCAAGGCGACGAUCAGUAGCUGGUCUGAGAGGACGAUCAGCCACACUGGGACUGAGACACGGCCCAGACUCCUACGGGAGGCAGCAGUGGGGAAUUUUGGACAAUGGGGGCAACCCUGAUCCAGCAAUGCCGCGUGAGUGAAGAAGGCUUUCGGGUUGUAAAGCUCUUUUGUCAGGGAAGAAACACCGGCUCUAACACAGUCUGGGAAUGACGGUACCUGAAGAAUAAGCACCGGCUAACUACGUGCCAGCCGCCGCCGUAA